AAGCUCUCCAUUUCAAGCCUCUCCGGAGCCGAAGUUUUCAGGCUGUGACGAUCAAAAGGGAUCUUUCUGAUGUCCCCUUUCAGGACAAGGGGUCCGACCCUCCCCUCCCGUGCCGGCCGGCGGCAGGGGGGCCAGGGGGCGCAUCGGGACACCCAGCCGCCUGAUUUUUCACUCUCGGGAGAUGAGCUCGCUGGCCUGGGGGGACUGGAAGCCGCGGCGCACAGAACACGUUUUCAAACGCUCGUGUUACCCCCGAGCCCUCGAGAAUGAAAAAGGAAGCCGGCAGUUUGGCAGAGCCAUGGGCAGAGGACUGCUGUUUCCCCAGAGUGGGAAGUUUAACUGGUCUCUUGCCCUUUGGCGGAGGCGGGUUCAGGUGUCACCGAUGCAGUCAAAGAAGAGGCCCUGCAGGCUCUGCAGGCUCUGCAGGCUCAGUGAAGGCCUUUGGCACUCUUCCGGGGGCAUCAUGAUCGGGAAACAGUUCGGUCUGUUGCAUCUAUCUCUGCAUUCUCAUUUUUCAAAAUUGUGAAGACUUGGGACAAUGGAGGAAAUGGCCUUUUUGGCUUUUGUUUCUGUUUUGCUUGUUUUGCUUGUUUUUACAUAAAAUCAAAGGCAGGCUGCAAAGUGGAAAGGGUCAGCACAGUAAGGACAAAGAAUAAGUCCUUCAUCCCCUGGCUGUCAUCUUUUCUUGAAAUGAGAAAAAUAUUUGCAGACUGCCUAUCUCAAAGAGUUGUCAUGAGUAGCAAAUUUAAUCCAGUUGCAAAAUGCCUUAAGAAGUAUAAAGUAGCCAUAUGAAUUUAAGUGAUACUGGUUUUCUCUUUUAUUCCAGCAAAUUCAUGACUACGUGUGGGGAACACUUGUGCAGUAAAGUCAGGCCAUCACACAAUUAGCAAAGCUUGCCUCUGCACACCCAGCCUCGGUUCCCUUCUGGUCCACACCCCAUGGGAAGUCCUUCCCUCCCCAGAUACCCCACUAUGAGAUAUCCUCACCAGCUAGCCACCAUGCUCCCACUGGGUAUUCAGGACAGGGUCUCCCUGGGUAGAGGUGGGUGUCUGUGAGGCCACUUUCCCAAACAGAGGGGCUUCAUUGCAUCAAGGACCCCACCAUCCUGUUGUAGCUCAGCUGGACGUUCUUGGUCUGCCAGAGGAGGUGGGUAAGACCAGAUGACCAGUGGCAGAACCCAUGUAAAGAAGCACUUGUUCGGCCUAGAGAAGAGGAAGCCAGUUUAAGGGCCUCCGGGAGAAGUCUUAAAGGCCCUUCUGUAUUAGAAAAAAGAUUAAAGUAUUUUGUACAGCUUUAAGAGGUAGAACCAGGUGGGCUCUGUAUUUAAGAGGUCAGAUUUUUUUUCCUAAUGAUUUUUUUUUCCAUGAGAAACAGAGGCAGAGACACAGGCAGAGGGAGAAGCAGGCUUCCUGCGGGGAUCGUGACAGGGGACUCGAUCCCAGGACCCCGAGAUCACAACCUGAGCCAAAGGCAGAUGCUCAACCACCCAGGUGCCCCUAGAGGUCAGUUUUAAGCCAUCUUAACCA
rnacentral:lncRNA from 1 species